CGCAGCCGCGGUAAUUCCAGCUCCAAUAGCGUAUAUUAAAGUUGUUGCAGUUAAAAAGCUCGUAGUUGAAUUUCGGGAUCAAUUAAUUGGUCGUGCCUCUGGUACGUACUGGCAUUGUUGGUUUCUCCCUUCUGACGAACCAUGAUGUCAUUUAUUUGGUGUUGUGGGGAAUCAGGACUGUUACUUUGAAAAAAUUAGAGUGUUUAAAGCAGGCUCACGCUUGAAUACAUUAGCAUGGAAUAAUGAAAUAGGACGUUUGAUUCUAUUUUGUUGGUUUCUAGGAUCGACGUAAUGAUUAAUAGGGAUAGUUGGGGGCAUUAGUAUUCAAUUGUCAGAGGUGAAAUUCUUGGAUUUAUUGAAGACUAACUACUGCGAAAGCAUUUGCCAAGGAUGUUUUCAUUAAUCAAGAACGAAAGUUAGGGGAUCGAAGACGACCAGAUACCGUCGUAGUCUUAACCAUAAACUAUGCCGACUAGGGAUCGGAUGAUGUUAAUUUUUAAUGA
rnacentral:rRNA from 1 species